AUUGAACGCUGGCGGCAGGCUUAACACAUGCAAGUCGAACGAGUGGCGGACGGGUGAGUAAUGCUUGGGAAUCUGGCUUAUGGGGGGGGAUAACGUCGGGAAACUGUCGCUAAUACCGCGUACCAUAGGUUGAGCCAAAGUGGGAUUAGGUAGUUGGUGGGGUAAUGGUCUACCAAACCGACGAUCUCUUGCUGGUCUGAGAGGUUGACCAGCGACACCGGGCCUGAGACGCGGACCGUAGUCCGACGAGUGGCAGCAGUGGGGAAUAUUGCGCAAUGGGGGGAUCGUGACGCAGCGAUGCCGCGUGGAUGAAGAAGGCCUUCGGGUUGUAAAGUUCUUUCGGUGACGAGGCGUUAAUCACAGAAGAAGCACCGGCUAACUCCGUGCCAGCAGCCGCGGUAAUUC
rnacentral:rRNA from 1 species